ACCUUUCAAAUCAGGGUGCGGCGCGGCCCCGAGGAGCGGAAACAAUCCUUGGGAGGUAUGCGGGGGCUUCGAGCCCCCCAUUUACGCACGCACGACUGCCAUCCUUACUUUACGAGCACCUUCUGUUCUCCCUCGGCGGGGCAACCUGCCGUUGGAACCGAAUAAACUCUUUUUGCAUCUAGCAUUACCUGUUCCGAAACAAACAAUCGUUA
rnacentral:misc_RNA from 1 species